UUGGAGGGCAAGUCUGGUGCCAGCAGCCGCGGUAAUUCCAGCUCCAAUAGCGUAUAUUAAAGUUGUUGCAGUUAAAAAGCUCGUAGUUGAAUUUCGAGAUCAAAUUGUUGGUCGUGCCUUGGUACGUACUGACAUUAUUGGUUUCUCCCUUCUGAAGAACCAUGAUGUCAUUAAUUUGGUGUCAUGGGGAAUCAGGACUGUUACUUUGAAAAAAUUAGAGUGUUUAAAGCAGGCUCGCGCUUGAAUACAUUAGCAUGGAAUAAUGAAAUAGGACGUUUAAUUCUAUUUUGUUGGUUUCUAGGAUUGACGUAAUGAUUAAUAGGGAUAGUUGGGGGCAUUAGUAUUCAAUUGUCAGAGGUGAAAUUCUUGGAUUUAUUGAAGACUAACUACUGCGAAAGCAUUUGCCAAGGAUGUUUUCAUUAAUCAAGAACGAAAGUUAGGGGAUCGAAGACGAUCAGAUACCGUCGUAGUCUUAACCAUAAACUAUGCCGACUAGGGAUCGGAUGAUGUUAAUUUUUUAAUGACUCAUUCGGCGCCUUACGGGAAAC
rnacentral:rRNA from 1 species